UAACCCUGGUAGUCCACGCUGUAAACGAUGUCGACUUGGAGGUUGUGCCCUUGAGGCGUGGCUUCCGGAGCUAACGCGUUAAGUCGACCGCCUGGGGAGUACGGCCGCAAGGUUAAAACUCAAAUGAAUUGACGGGGGCCCGCACAAGCGGUGGAGCAUGUGGUUUAAUUCGAUGCAACGCGAAGAACCUUACCUACUCUUGACAUCCACGGAAUUCGCCAGAGAUGGCUUAGUGCCUUCGGGAACCGUGAGACAGGUGCUGCAUGGCUGUCGUCAGCUCGUGUUGUGAAAUGUUGGGUUAAGUCCCGCAACGAGCGCAACCCUUAUCCUUUGUUGCCAGCACGUAAUGGUGGGAACUCAAAGGAGACUGCCGGUGAUAAACCGGAGGAAGGUGGGGAUGACGUCAAGUCAUCAUGGCCCUUACGAGUAGGGCUACACACGUGCUACAAUGGCAUAUACAAAGAGAAGCGAACUCGCGAGAGCAAGCGGACCUCAUAAAGUAUGUCGUAGUCCGGAUUGGAGUCUGCAACUCGACUCCAUGAAGUCGGAAUCGCUAGUAAUCGUAGAUCAGAAUGCUACGGUGAAUACGUUCCCGGGCCUUGUACACACCGCCCGUCACACCAUGGGAGUGGGUUGCAAAAGAAGUAGGUAGCUUAAC
rnacentral:rRNA from 1 species